AACGAACGCUGGCGGCAUGCUUAACACAUGCAAGUCGAACGAGACCUUCGGGUCUAGUGGCGCACGGGUGCGUAACGCGUGGGAAUCUGCCCUUUGCUACGGAAUAACUCAGAGAAAUUUGUGCUAAUACUGUAUAAUGUAGAAAGACCAAAGAUUUAUCGGCAAAGGAUGAGCCCGCGUAGGAUUAGCUAGUUGGUGAGGUAAAGGCUCACCAAGGCGACGAUCCUUAGCUGGUCUGAGAGGAUGAUCAGCCACACUGGGACGGAGCCACGGCCCAGACUCCUACGGCAGGCAGCAGUGGGGAAGAUUGGACAAUGGGCGAAAGCCUGCUCCAGCAAUGCCGCGUGAGUGAUGAGGGCCUUAGGGUUGUAAAGCUCUUUUACCAGGGAUGAUAAUGACAGUACCUGGAGAAUAAGCUCCGGCUAACUCCGUGCCAGCAGCCGCAGUAACAC
rnacentral:rRNA from 1 species